GUGCUCACUUUGGCAGCAUAUAUACUAAAAUUGAAACAAUGCAGAAAAGAUUAGCAUGAUCCCCAUUACAAGGAUGACUCGCAAAUUCGUGAAGCAUUCCAUAUUUUG